rnacentral:piRNA from 1 species
UCAGAAUCAGUCCUUGUUAUAGUAUCUGC